AAUACGUUCCCGGGCCUUGUACACACCGCCCGUCAAACAAUGGAAGCCGGGGGUGCCUGAAGUCGGUAGCCGCAAGGAGCUGCCUAGGGUAAAACUGGUAACUGGUGCU
rnacentral:rRNA from 1 species